GACGAACGCUGGCGGCGUGCUUAACACAUGCAAGUCGAACGGAAAGGCCCUGCUUUUGUGGGGUGCUCGAGUGGCGAACGGGUGAGUAACACGUGAGUAACCUGCCCUUGACUUUGGGAUAACUUCAGGAAACUGGGGCUAAUACCGGAUAGGAGCUCCUGCUGCAUGGUGGGGGUUGGAAAGUUUCGGCGGUUGGGGAUGGACUCGCGGCUUAUCAGCUUGUUGGUGGGGUAGUGGCUUACCAAGGCUUUGACGGGUAGCCGGCAUGAGAGGGUGACCGGCCACAUUGGGACUGAGAUACGGCCCAGACUCCUACGGGAGGCAGCAGUGGGGAAUAUUGCACAAUGGGGGGAAGCCUGAUGCAGCAACGCCGCGUGCGGGAUGACGGCCUUCGGGUUGUAAACCGCUUUCGCCUGUGACGAAGCGUGAGUGACGGUAAUGGGUAAAGAAGCACCGGCUAACUACGUG
rnacentral:rRNA from 1 species